UAGGAUAGCUCAGUUGGUAGAGCAUGAGACUCCUAAUCUCAAGGUGUUUGGUUCAAGACCUACACUGGGCAGAA